GUGCUCACUUCAGCAGCACAUACACUAAAAUUGGAAAGA
rnacentral:snRNA from 1 species